GACGAACGCUGGCGGCGUGCUUAACACAUGCAAGUCGAGCGGAAAGGCCCUUCGGGGUACUCGAGCGGCGAACGGGUGAGUAACACGUGGGCAACCUGCCCCUAGCUCUGGGAUAACUCCGGGAAACCGGGGCUAAUACCGGAUACGACUUCCUGCGGCAUCUUGGGAAGUGGAAAGUUUUUCGGCUAGGGAUGGGCCCGCGGCCUAUCAGCUUGUUGGUGGGGUAACGGCCCACCAAGGCGACGACGGGUAGCCGGCCUGAGAGGGCGACCGGCCACACUGGGACUGAGACACGGCCCAGACUCCUACGGGAGGCAGCAGUGGGGAAUAUUGCGCAAUGGGCGAAAGCCUGACGCAGCGACGCCGCGUGAGGGAUGACGGCCUUCGGGUUGUAAACCUCUUUCAGCAGGGACGAAGCGCAAGUGACGGUACCUGCAGAAGAAGCACCGGCCAACUACGUGCCAGCAGCCGCGGUAGUACGUAGGGUGCAAGCGUUGUCCGGAAUUAUUGGGCGUAAAGAGCUCGUAGGCGGUCUGUCGCGUCGGCUGUGAAAACUCGGGGCUCAACCCCGAGCCUGCAGUCGAUACGGGCAGACUAGAGUGCGGUAGGGGAGACUGGAAUUCCUGGUGUAGCGGUGAAAUGCGCAGAUAUCAGGAGGAACACCGGUGGCGAAGGCGGGUCUCUGGGCCGUAACUGACGCUGAGGAGCGAAAGCGUGGGGAGCAAACAGGAUUAGAUGCCCUGGUAGUCCACGCCGUAAACGGUGGGUGCUAGGUGUAGGCGGUAUUCCACGCCGUCUGUGCCGCAGCUAACGCAUUAAGCACCCCGCCUGGGGAGUACGGCCGCAAGGCUAA
rnacentral:rRNA from 1 species